rnacentral:rRNA from 1 species
UACGAAGGGGGCUAGCGUUGUUCGGAAUUACUGGGCGUAAAGCGCGCGCAGGCGGUUUUCCAAGUCAGUGGUGAAAGCCCGGAGCUCAACUCCGGAGUUGCCAUUGAAACUGUUAAACUUGAGGACGAGAGAGGUGAGUGGAAUUCCCAGUGUAGAGGUGAAAUUCGUAGAUAUUGGGAAGAACACCGGUGGCGAAGGCGGCUCACUGGCUCGUUUCUGACGCUCAGGCGCGAUAGCGUGGGGAUCAAACAGG